UACAUUUAAAGAGUGCGUAAUAGCUCACUGGUCGAGUGAUUGUGCGCCGAAGAUGUCCGGGGCUAAACGUGACACCGAAGCGAUGGGUGCAUCUGAAAGGAUGCGCGGUAGAGGAGCAAUGUGCAGAGGCAGAAGCCGUAUCGAGAGGCACGGUGGACACUGCACAAGAGAGAAUGCCGGUAUGAGUAGCGAGAGGCAUGCGAGAAACAUGCCCGUCGAAAGCCCAAGGUUUCCUGGGGAAGGUUCAUCCGCCCAGGGUAAGUCGGGGCCUAAGCCGAGGACGGAAGUCGUAGGCGAUGGACAGCAGGUGUAGAUUCCUGCACUACCGAUGGAAUGGAGCAGUGACACAGAAGGAUAACUCGAGCAGGGUGAUGGUCAACCCUGUGCAGGCAUCAAGGUUGGGUUGUAGUGAAGUACGCAACCCUAUAAGCUGAGGUGUGAUGCGGACCGAAAUUUCAGUAGGGAAGCGAGUGAGUUCACGCUGGCGAGAAAAGCUGCUAGUACAUCCAAAGGUACCCGUACCGGAAACCGACGCAGGUGGGCGAGGAGAGAAUCCUGAGACGAACGGGAGAACCCUUGUUAAGGAACUCGGCAAAAUGACCCCGUAACUUCGGGAUAAGGGGUGCCUGCGAGAGCAGGCCGCAGAGAAUAGUCACAAGCGACUGUUUAGCAAAAACACAGGUAUCUGCGAAAGCGAGAGCUGACGUAUAGGUGCUGACACCUGCCCGGUGCUGGAAGGUUAAGGGAACAUGUUAGAGCAAUCGAAGCAUCGAACCGAAGCCCCAGUAAACGGCGGCCGUAACGAUAACGGUCCUAAGGUAGCGAAAUUCCUUGUCGGGUAAGUUCCGACCCGCACGAAUGGUGUAACGACUUGUGAGCUGUCUCAACAGGGGGCCCGGUGAAAUUGAAGUAUGGGUGAAGAUGCCCAUUACCCGCGACUGGACGGAAAGACCCCGUAGAGCUUUACUGCAGCCUGAUAUUGAGUUUCGGUAACUGAUGCACAGGAUAGGUGGGAGUCUGAGAGACAUGGGUUUCGGCUCAUGUGGAGACGGUGUUGGGAUACCACUCUUCGGUUACUGAAAUUCUAACAUAGCUCUGUGAAACCAGAGGAUGGACAGUGUCAGGUGGACAGUUUGACUGGGGCGGUCGCCUCCGAAAGAGUAACGGAGGCGCCCAAAGGUACCCUCAGAAUGGAUGGAAACCAUUCGAAGAGCGCAAAGGCAGAAGGGUGCCUGACUGCGAGAUUGACAAAUCGAGCAGAGACGAAAGUCGGGCUUAGUGAUCCGGCGGUAUUGAGUGGAAAAGCCGUCGCUUAACGGAUAAAAGCUACCUCCGGGAUAACAGGCUGAUCUCCCCCAAGAGUCCACAUCGACGGGGAGGUUUGGCACCUCGAUGUCGGCUCGUCGCAUCCUGGGGCUGAAGCAGGUCCCAAGGGUUUGGCUGUUCGCCAAUUAAAGCGGCACGCGAGCUGGGUUCAGAACGUCGUGAGACAGUUCGGUCCCUAUCCAUCGUGGGCGUAGGAGUCAUGAGAGGAGCUGUUCCUAGUACGAGAGGACCGGAAUGGACGCACCACUGGUGCAACUGUUGUCGUGCCAACGGCAUAGCAGGGAAGCGAAGUGCGGAUGGGAUAAACGCUGAAGGCAUCUAAGCGUGAAGCCCACCUCAAGAAUAAGACUCCACAAUAGACCCCUGGAGGACUACCAGGUAGAUAGGUCAUCGGUGGAAGCGCUGUAAGGCGUGUAGCUUGAUGAUACUAAUCGGUCGAAAGCUUCAUU
rnacentral:rRNA from 1 species